CAGCGCCACGAAUGGCAAUCACGUUUAUUGGGCCUAAAGCGUCCGUAGCCGGUUUAGCAAAUCUUUUGUGAAAUCGUCAGGCUUAACUUGACGAGUUGCAGAAGACACUACUAAACUAGGGACUGGGAGGAGUCAGAAGUAUUCUGGGGGGACCGGUAAAAUGGUAUAAUCCCCAGAGGACUACCGAUGGCGAAGGCAUCUGACCAGAACAGAUCCGACGGUGAGGGACGAAAGCCAGGGGAGCAAACCGGAUUAGAUACCCGAGUAGUCC
rnacentral:rRNA from 1 species